GCUAAAACUACCCACAACUCUCCAUUGGAAAUAAUUUUAAAGAUUUGUUGUGGCAAUGACAAUUUUACUAAUGAAAAGCACCAAAAGUGGGGAAUCAAAUAAAGAUCUCGUAUUGUUAUUAACAUUUUUAUAACAAUUUGCAAAAAGAAGUUACAUAUUCAUUGAGUAAAGAUCAAGUAAAAAAACUGCAAAAAAGGCAAAGACAAAAUAAAUAUUCCUGUAAAAAGGUAUUUCUUCUUUUAAUUUCAAUUAUAAAAAUACAAAACUACAAACCUUUGAUUUUUUUUUUUUCAAUGAAGAGUUUGAGACAAUCUUAGCAACAUGUAAGGUUAUUUUUAAUAGCAUGUUGGUAUGUGUUGAUAUAGCUAUCUGAAAGCCUAUUUCAGUAUUCUGUGUUAUUAGAAUAAACUGAAACAGGCGAUCAGUUAACAAAAAAUCCAGCACAAAAUAGUGUGAGUACUCAAAUAAAAUCUACCUAUUAUUAAAGCAUUUUAAUAAAAUAAGAAUAAACCAAUUAUAAUGCAAACAAGACUCAUAACCAUAUAGAAAAUUACGUUUUUAUACUUGAGCCGUAAAAAAACUGGCCUCUUAAUUUUUUACGGAAAAUGCAACAAAUCAGGCCGUGUAAUUUAAGUAGGCCAUGGUGGUGUCUAUCGUUAAAAAUGAUUAAAAUAUAGUUUCAUUAUUGGAAUUAAUCAUUUUAAUCGUUCAAUAAAAGCCAAGACAAAAGUUAUAUUAAAUCAUCUUUAAAAUAAUUACAAAUUAUAAUUUUUUUUAUGUUAAGGUUUACUUAUUAUUUAUAUUGAAACAGGAAAUUUGUUUAUUAACCGAAGAAAAUGGCUAGCUCGUUAACCAUACUGUAUGGUCCUGUUAAUGUGACAAUCACAUGAAAGACAAUAAUAUAGGAUAGGUGGGGGGGCAUACGCCCCUCCCGUAAUAGAAACACCACUUGUAUACACAAGAUCUUGUAUAAAAUAAUUUUAUAUUGUAUACUAAUUUUACACAUUUUAGUAAAGAUAUAAAUAUAAAAUCAAGUCGUUGUUAAUACUAGGGUGUAUUAAACCACCACCACAACACCCACCUCUAUUGCUAACAUACACCUCUCAUAAAUUUUAUUGGUUUAGUAUAAUUUUAAAAUAAUUUUUUUUAAAUAAUUAUAUUGCUUAUGUCUUUAAAAAAAACUUUUUUUCUGAAAAAAGUGUUCAGUUUCAUACGGGCAUGGUUGUGGUUUGGUGCCCCUCUGUCUAUCUGAAACGCCCGGUGGUUAGAGUUUAACAUAAAGUUGUAUCCCACUCUUAUACCUAUCUUUUGACGCCAAGGUGUUUGCUUUUCGAUAAGAAUUGUCAAAGUUAUGACAAUUUAAGUGAAGAAAAACAAUAUUUUGACCACAGUUUCUUCAACAAAUCCAUAUAUCGAAAA